rfam:Oesophagostomum dentatum strain OD-Hann O_dentatum-1.0_Cont2815.6, whole genome shotgun sequence.
CCAACGGCCCUCUUUAGGGCCACAAGUUGAUACGAAUACAUUGAC